GCAGUGCAUGCUGCCAUUGACUGAACUAAUUGUUAUAUUUAAAGUUUUCCAGAAACUGUGGCUUACCAACAUCUUAGAGAAGCCAUGUUUAGAUGCAACAAACCAAAUGUGAGAAGCCAGGAGACCUGAGGCAUACAAUGAGUGAUAAGUUUACUUUAUCAGGACACAGAACUUAACUUGACAACCAGAGUCUUACAUUUAAAAAUACCUGAAUAAAACUCACUCACUAACUCAGAAGAAAUUUGAAAGACUAUGAAAAUCUUUGAAUACAAUGUAGAAGUUUUUAUUCCAAAACAGUGAAAAGGUGAGAAUGUUUUAUAUAUCAAUAUAAAAAUUGACCUGAAGUACCCAUGACAUUGAAUAUAUAUGUUUUGAAGGC
rnacentral:lncRNA from 10 species